rnacentral:tRNA from 13 species
UUCCCACACCGGGACUUGAACCCGGGCCUCCUAGGUGAGAGCCAGGUAUCCUAACCACUAGACCAUGUGGGA